rnacentral:rRNA from 1 species
AUUGAACGCUGGCGGCAGGCCUAACACAUGCAAGUCGAGCGGAUGAAGGGAGCUUGCUCCUGGAUUCAGCGGCGGACGGGUGAGUAAUGCCUAGGAAUCUGCCUGGUAGUGGGGGAUAACGUCCGGAAACGGGCGCUAAUACCGCAUACGUCCUGAGGGAGAAAGUGGGGGAUCUUCGGACCUCACGCUAUCAGAUGAGCCUAGGUCGGAUUAGCUAGUUGGUGGGGUAAAGGCCUACCAAGGCGACGAUCCGUAACUGGUCUGAGAGGAUGAUCAGUCACACUGGAACUGAGACACGGUCCAGACUCCUACGGGAGGCAGCAGUGGGGAAUAUUGGACAAAGGGCGAAAGCCUGAUCCAGCCAUGCCGCGUGUGUGAAGAAGGUCUUCGGAUUGUAAAGCACUUUAAGUUAGGAGGAAGGGCAGUAAGUUAAUACCUUGCUGUUUUGACGUUACCAACAGAAUAAGCACCGGCUAACUUCGUG